ACKGCUCAGUAACACGUGGCUAAUCUGCCCUUGGGACUAGAACAACCCCGGGAAACUGGGGCUAACUCUAGAUAGGUGAAGAACUCUGGAAUGAGUCUUUGCCUAAAUAGGUUCACGUUAUCCUCGUGAACUUGCCCAAGGAUGAGGCCGCGACCGAUCAGGUUGUUGGCGAGGUAAUGGCUCACCAAGCCUCUUACCGGUGCGGGCCGUGGGAGCGGGAGCCCGGAGAUGGGUACUGAGACAAGGACCCAGGCCCUACGGGGCGCAGCAGUCGCGAAACCUUUGCAAUACACGAAAGUGUGACAGGGCUAUCCCGAGUGCCAUCCGCUGAGGAAGGCUUUUACCCAGUCUAGAACGCUGGGGGAAUAAGGAGAGGGCAAGUCUGGUGUCAGCCGCCGCGGUAAUACCAGCUCUCCGAGUGGUGUGGAUGUUUAUUGGGCCUAAAGCAUCCGUAGCUGGCUAGGUAAGUCCCUUGUUAAAUCCACCGAAUUAAUCGUUGGAUCGCGGGGGAUACUGCUUGGCUAGGGGACGAGAGAGGCAGACGGUAUUUUCGGGGUAGGGGUGAAAUCCUAUAAUCCCGGGGAGACCACCAGUGGCGAAGGCUGUCUGCUAGAACGCGCCCGACGGUGAGGGAUGAAAGCUGGGGGAGCGAACCGGAUUAGAUACCCGGGUAGUCCCAGCUGUAAACGAUGCAGACUAGGUGUUUGGACGGCCACGUGCCGUUCUAGUGCCGCAGGGAAGCUGUUAAGUCUGCCGCCUGGGGAGUACGAUCGCAAGAUUGAAACUUAAAGGAAUUGGCGGGGGAGCAC
rnacentral:rRNA from 1 species